AAAUUACGCUACGAGUCGAGAGCUUCUGUCAAAAUGUCAUCUGUGAGCCACAACAUUACCGAACUUUGUUUGUCCCGUGUGCGUGUAUUUUCAGGGGUUUCCACUGCAUUUGUUAUGUCGUAUUAAGGGAAAUUACAAGCCCCUUAAAAUCUUUCUAUCCAGCAAUGGAAAUUUAUCAAAACAGAGGUAAGGUCGCUAUUAUGAAAACAAUAUUGAACCGCUUUGGAAAUUCGGUCGUCGAGCUCAGUCACUACAUCAUUACAAUAUUUUCAAUAUCUUAUAUAAGGGAAAUUGACUAUACAAAGGGAUAUCCAGUACUCAUAAUUGAGGAGAAGAGGAAAUUCAAAGCUGAGCUAUGGUGAGUACAAUUUAAUUUUUAAGUAAUAUAAGAAUUUAUUUAAGAUGAGAAUGACAAGACUCUGAAAAUAAUUCCC